CCUGGCGGCCGUAGCGCGGUGGUCCCACCUGACCCCAUGCCGAACUCAGAAGUGAAACGCCGUAGCGCCGAUGGUAGUGUGGGGUAUCCUCAUGCGAGAGUAGGGAACUGCCAGGC
rnacentral:rRNA from 1 species